rnacentral:rRNA from 1 species
GCAGUCGAGCGGAACGAAAGUAGCUUGCUACUAGGCGUCGAGCGGCGGACGGGUGAGUAAUGCUUAGGAAUCUACCGAGUAGUGGGGGAUAGCCAUUGGAAACGAUGAUUAAUACCGCAUAUAUCCUACGGGGGAAAGCAGGGGACCUUCGGGCCUUGCGCUAUUCGAUGAGCCUGAGUGAGAUUAGCUAGUUGGUGGGGUAAAGGCCUACCAAGGCGACGAUCUCUAGCUGGUCUGAGAGGAUGAUCAGCCACACUGGGACUGAGACACGGCCCAGACUCCUACGGGAGGCAGCAGUGGGGAAUAUUGCACAAUGGGCGAAAGCCUGAUGCAGCCAUGCCGCGUGUGUGAAGAAGGCCUUCGGGUUGUAAAGCACUUUCAGCGAGGAGGAAAGGUCAGUAAGUAAUAUUUGCUGGCUGUGACGUUACUCGCAGAAGAAGCACCGGCUAAUUUAGUGCCAGCAGCCGCGGUAAUACUAAAGGUGCAAGCGUUAAUCGGAAUUACUGGGCGUAAAGCGCGCGUAGGUGGUUUGUUAAGUUGGAUGUGAAAGCCCAGGGCUCAACCUUGGAACUGCAUUCAAAACUGACUCACUA